rnacentral:lncRNA from 1 species
CCUGUGUGCUGGUGGGGGGUGUUGGGGCAGCAGGGCUGGGCUGGCUGCGGGUUGUCAUUGAUCUCCUCUGGAGAGAGUCGGCCGCCGGCGGUGGUUUCCUGGUGCAGGUGCACGCAUGUGGUGGUGGAGGCGGUGGUGGGAGAGGUCUGAACGUGAACUGGUUGUGUGGGCUCCCCGGCAUGUCAUUCUCCCCAUCAGACUUCCUCUCAUGGUCAGUGUCAGUCAGGGACAACGCUGAGUUUGCCCGGCUUGACAGACAGGAGCUGUGUUCUGAC